ACUCGUUUCUUUGUCGCGUUCUUCCUCUCCGCUGCCGACCGGUCCGGCGAUAUACCAUCCCCCCGUUGCUGGAAGUCAAGAGACUGCUUUACGUUGUCGGUUGAUCGAGCCGUCGAUUCCAUCCCCGAAACCUGUUCUAUUCUUUGCUUGCUCAGCCGCUUCACGGUUAGACCUGUUCCACAUACGAAUGAGAGACUGAAGCCGCCAGCACAGGUAAACGGAACGAUGUUAUAGAAAAGGGUUGACGCUGUUGUAGAUUCCCAGCAGCGGAAAUUGUUCGAUGGAAGCAAAACUUUUGUUAAUGGAGUAGGAAGUUGGCCUCUCCUUGGUUCUCUUUCGGUGAUAAGAAAAGGACAAGAAUGGUGCUGUAGACAUCCAGAAAAGUAACUUGGAACAAGACACCACUAAAAUGUCUGAUCAUCCCCUGACUGAUGUGGAGAAGAGGAGGAUCAAGUGGAGUGGAUGCCUGUGGGACCUUCUGCAGCCAGAAAUAAUUAAACCCACAGAAGAACCUCACAUGCCUGAACAUGGAAGCUUAUCCCCACCUACAAUUAAGACCACCGGCCUCCAUUGGCUUGUCUCCUCCAUGGAAAGGGACACCAUAGGUGCCAUGUCCACUGCACCAGAAUGAGCAUCAUUUCUUCAACAUGCAUCAACAGUAAAAUUAUUCUACACAGGUCACAACAAUUCCUGAAAAGGAAAAAAAAAGGUUCCUGAUUCCCUCAAAAACAUCUCUGCAUUUCAGGCACUUGCAACCUUUAUUAUUUGUUCUAAGACUAUCAAAAUGAAAUCGAGGGCUAGUUUUACAAUAAAUUGUUUCUGUUUUAUUUAGUGUAUUAUGUAUGACUCUGUACAUGUUCCAAAGCAAAUAUACAAGCAUAUUUAUCUGCUCAAGAUUAUUUCU